GGGGCAUUGGCGCAGUUGGUAGCGCGCUUACAUGGCAUGGAAGAGGUCAGGGGUUCGAAUCCCCUAUGCUCCA
rnacentral:tRNA from 1 species